rnacentral:rRNA from 1 species
UUCGCAAUGCCCGAAAGGGUGACGAAGCGACGCCGCGUGUGGGAAGAAGGCCUUCGGGUUGUAAACCACUGUCGGGAGUUAAGAAGUGCAAGGAUAUGAAUAGUGUCUUUGCUUGACUAAGGCUCCGGAGGAAGCCACGGCUAACUCUGUGCCAGCAGCCGCGGUAAUACAGAGGCGGCAAGCGUUGUUCGGAAUUAUUGGGCGUAAAGAGCACGUAGGCGGCUAUGUAAGUCGGUUGUGAAAGCCUUCCGCUCAACGGAAGAACAGCAUCCGAUACUACAUGGCUUGAGUGCGGGAGGGGAGAGUGGAACUUCUGGUGGAGCGGUGAAAUGCGUAGAUAUCAGAAGGAACGCCGGCGGCGAAAGCGGCUCUCUGGCCCAUAACUGACGCUGAGUGUGCGAAAGCUAGGGGAGCAAACGGGGUUAGAUACCCCGGUAGUCCUAGCCGUAAACGAUGGGCACUAAGUAGAGGGGUUUU